AAAGGGUGAUCCUGUUCCUUGUGAUCGGUGCGCGGGAAAUGGUGGCACAAAAUGUGUGUUUUGCAAUGAUGGCAAGAUGAAGCAGGAAACUGGCUUGAUAGAUUGUAGAGUGUGCAAAGGUGCAGGAUUGAUACUCUGCAGGAAGUGUGGAGGUUCCGGAUAUUCCAGACGCCUAUGAGCUUGAGUUCAGCACAUAUUUUUGACCCAUAAGACAAAUUUACUGAGGCUUCAAUUCUUUUCACCAGGUCCUUGCCUUGUUUUCCCCC
rnacentral:misc_RNA from 1 species